GAGGCAGGGAGGAGGCCAGGAGGGGUGCUGAGCUCUGGAGGCGUGCAGCAGCUUGGGCUGUGUGGUUUUGUCUCAUUUUCUGACGUGCAGAACGAAAAAUGAAAGGCCCCUAAACUUAGGGGUGUCUCAGGGAACAAGUGUCUACUUGAAAUGCUGGAAAUGUCAGCAUUCAGGAACACAUAAUCACAGAAUGAUUCUAUGCAGGUGCUUUUAUUGUAGAGCUCUGGGUGUCAGGGGUACAGACCCAAAUCUGACUCUGCCAUGGAUUCGGGAUGAACAUGUUUUAUAUUCUAUCACUAUAUAACUUACAUAUUAAUUAUUAAACUUACAUUGGUCUCUUGUAUACAUUGAUUUCAUCCAAGCAUGGGUUUCUCGUCAUCCCCCCCUCAAACCCUUGAACAUGGCUUCUCAUGAUUCUUCUUAUGAUUAAACAAUAAUUAUAUUUAAUUACUAAACAAUCAUCACAUCCAGCAAUUAUAUAAUUCAUCAUAUAUUGAUUACACAGGUGCAGUUUCACAUGAUCUGGCAAACACAAGGCCUAGCAUUUCCUAGGGCCUACCCUUAACAUUUUCCCAGGGCCUACUAAGCCUAGCUUUCUUUCUAACUCAUCAAAUUUUCUAUGAUUUCAAAAUCUUUUACUAUCAGAACCAUGGGGAAAAAAUAACUGCAACAACCCUUGUGGAAGUGGAUGUGAGAGCCUGGACUCUGAUUAAUGACUCAAACACUGGACCCAGGGCUGGGCAAGCCAGGACUGGCGAUGCCAAUGGCUCCAACCAUCUCUGCUCUGCUGGUGAUGAACCUGGGCUGCAAACUGGGUUCCCAGGUCAGGGAAGAGGCUGAUGAGACUCCAGAGCCUGUUUUCCCUGUAUGCUCCCCUCCACCUCUCAAUGGAUGCAGUCUGCAGCCACCAAGAGGACUAAAGGUAGAGGAUCAACAAAAUCUGCACAGUGGUGAUAUUUUUCCUACUUAGUCUGUUUCUCUGUCAUUUUCUUUCUCUUCCAACCCCCCCACCCACCCCCACCUUUUUCUUAUCUCCCUCUCAACUUCACAUUUACUUCUAAAUAAUAAUCUAUAUUAUUGAUUUCAACAUAUGGUCUCGUUGGCACCUUAACUGGGGCAGGGGCAUCUCUCUAAUAAUUUUAAUAGUCAGAUCUUAACAGUGAAGGACCAGAUAAAAUGACCAGCAAAAGAUUUAUCAGCAGGGCAGUCUCCCAACGGAGGAGAGGUCUUUUCCCUCUUUUGUUUUUCAAGCCACCCUGAACCCAGAGGAACCAUCAGGCCUGUGCUGAUUCAGCCUGACAGGAAUUUCACCCCAGCAUCUUCUCCUCAUCACCAGAAUCACGCUGAAGAAUGGGGCUCCAGGCAGGUGUUGACACUUGCUCUGCCACACAAAUGUCUGAGGUUAAACAAUAUUGAUGGAUUUUGAAUGUUUUCCAUUAGCAGAGGCUGCUACUGGGCAAUGCCAUCAUUUUUUCACAGAAAAAUUUUUUUUUUUUUUUCAGGAGAAUAAAGGUUGUGUGCAAUUUAUUACCUUUGCGUAGUCAUUUAUGUGCUUUAAAAACAAAAGCUGCCUGCUGCAAUCUCCCACCAGCUGAUCGUGAUAUCCCAGGCACAAAUCAGACUCUGCCCCCUGACACUACAUCUAUCCAAAGCACAGUGACUCUGCAGGAAUUUUCCAUGAAGAAUCUCAUUUCUGUAGUGAACAAUUAAAUCAUCAUUUUGAAUUUCUUCCCUAUCUAUUCCUCUUUGCAAAAGAAAGCAACUCCUGUGGCACCUGCUUGAUUAGGAAACUGAAAUAAUUCAAAUUUUGGAAAAUUUAAAUUCCUCACAUUUUCAAGUGCUUCUGAGAUGCGGCAAAAAGCUGUGAGAGGAAUUAAUUGGGGAAAAAAAUAUGAAAACAUGUCAAAUGGCUGGGGUUUGCUUUUUCUUUAUAAACACAUGUCCCCAUAUUUACAGAGUCACAGAAUCAUCACGGCUGGAAGAGAUCCUCAGGAUCACUCAAUCCCCCUGUCAGCCCAGCACCACCAUAACCACCCCAAAAAGUGUCCCUAAGUGCCACAUCUGGACACCUCUGCAGACAAUGACCCCACCACCUCCCUGGGCUGCUGAUUACAAUGCCUGGUCACUCUUUCAGUGAAAAAAAACAAUUCCUAAUAUCUAAUCUGAGCCUCCCCUGGUGAACCUGACUAAAGAGGAAUGUCCUCAUUCUGGAAUUCUGCAGUGUGGGAUGUCAGCUCCUGAGCAAGCUACAAAUCCAAAGGGGUGCCAUGAACUUCAGCUGCCCAGAGGACAGGAAAACCCUCAGGCUUCUAAAGGAAGUGCAAAAAAAGACAUCUCGUGCUUGAAACACAGAUUUCCUCUUGUUAGCAGGCACCAUGUUAAAGGGCAAUAACCAGGUGAAGAAAGCAGCAUGGGGAGAUGAUUUUUCCCACCAGGUGUAAAGAAAUUUUCUACUGCAGGAAAAAAAAUAUUAACAACUCUUACAACAAAGCAGAAUAAAUAAACCUUCCCUCAGCUCUGCA